rnacentral:rRNA from 1 species
UACGUAGGGUGCUAGCGUUGUUCGGAAUUAUUGGGCGUAAAGCGCGUGUAGGCUGUUAGAUAAGUCGGAUGUGAAAGCCCUCGGCUCAACCGGGGAAGUGCAUUCGAAACUGACUAACUAGAGAAUGGUAGAGGAAGGUGGAAUUCCCGGUGUAGAGGUGAAAUUCGUAGAGAUCGGGAGGAGUACCUGCGGCGAAGGCGGCCUUCUGGGCCAUUUCUGACGCUGAGACGCUAAAGCGUGGGUAGCAAACAGG